AACGAACGCUGGCGGCAUGCCUAACACAUGCAAGUCGAACGAGACCUUCGGGUCUAGUGGCGCACGGGUGCGUAACGCGUGGGAACCUGCCCUUAGGUUUGGCCUACCUCUCCGAAUGGGGUGCUAAUACCGGAUCAUGUCUUCGGACGAAAGAUUUAUUGCCUUUGGAUGUGCCCGCGUUGGAUUAGCUAGUUGGUAGGGUAAAAGCCUACCAAGGCGUGAAUCCAUAGCUGGUUUGAGAGGAUGAUCAGCAACACUGGGACUGAGACACGGCCCAGACUCCUACGGGAGGCGGCAGUGGGGAAUAUUGGACAGUGGGCGAAAGCCUGAUCCAGCAAUGCCGCGUGAGUGAUGAAGGCCUUAGGGUUGUAAAGCUCUAUUACCCGGGAUGAUAAUGACAGUACCGAGAGAAUAAGCUCCGGCUAACUCCGUG
rnacentral:rRNA from 1 species